rnacentral:rRNA from 1 species
CAAUAGCGUAUAUUAAAGUUGUUGCAGUUAAAAAGCUCGUAGUUGAAUUUUUGCUUGCCGCCGAUGUCGGAACUUCCGUACGUUCGGCGGCGUGCAUCCUUGGGUGGAACCUGUGUGGCAUUAGGUUGUCGUGCAGGGGAUGCUCAUCGUUUACUGUGAAAAAAUUAGAGUGUUCAAAGCAGGCUUACGCCGUUGAAUAUAUUAGCAUGGAAUAAUAAGAUAGGACCUUGGUACUAUUUUGUUGGUUUGCGCACCGAGGUAAUGAUUAACAGGGACAGUUGGGGGUAUUCGUAUUCCAUUGUCAGAGGUGAAAUUCUUGGAUUUCCGGAAGACGAACUACUGCGAAAGCAUUUACCAAGGAUGUUUUCAUUAA